UACGGAGGGGAGCAUAGCGUUAAUUCGGAAUUAGCUAGGGCGUAAAGCGCAGCGGUUAGGUCGGCUUUGUAAGAUAACGGAGGUGAAAAGCCUGGGUGUCUCAACACCAGAACUGCCUUUUAGACUGCAUCGGCUUGAAUCCAGGAGAGGUGAGUGGAAUUCCGAGUGUAGAGGUGAAAUUCGUAGAUAUUCGGAAGAACACCAGUGGCGAAGGCGGCUCACUGGACUGGUAUUGGACGCUGAGGUAGCGAAAGCGUGGGGAGCAAACAGG
rnacentral:rRNA from 1 species